rnacentral:rRNA from 1 species
UACGAAGGGGGCUAGCGUUGUUCGGAAUGACUGGGCGUAAAGGGCGCGUAGGCGGCGAUGUAAGUCAGGCGUGAAAGCCCCGGGCUCAACCUGGGAACUGCAUUCGAGACUGCAGGACUGGAGUAUUGGAGAGGGCAGCGGAAUUUCCGGUGUAGCGGUGAAAUGCGUAGAUAUCGGAAGGAACAUCAGUGGCGAAAGCGGCUGCCUGGCCAAAUACUGACGCUCAUGUGCGAAAGCGUGGGGAGCAAACAGG